rnacentral:rRNA from 1 species
GUGAGGAAUAUUGCGCAAUGGAGGCAACUCUGACGCAGCCAUGCCGCGUGCAGGAAGAAGGCGCUACGCGUUGUAAACUGCUUUUAACCGGGAAGAAACCCCAGGACGUGUCCUGGGUUGACGGUACCGGAGGAAUAAGCACCGGCUAACUUCGUGCCAGCAGCCGCGGUAAUACGAAGGGUGCAAGCGUUAUCCGGAUUCAUUGGGUUUAAAGGGUGCGUAGGCGGAGCGUUAAGUCAGUGGUGAAAUCCUGCAGAUUAACUGUAGACUUGCCAUUGAUACUGGCGCUCUUGAGUGCGCUUGAAGUGGGCGGAAUGUGCCGUGUAGCGGUGAAAUGCUUAGAUAUGGCACAGAACACCAAUUGCGAAGGCAGCUCACUAAGGCGAUACUGACGCUGAGGCACGAAAGCGUGGGGAUCGAACAGGAUUAGAAACCCCGGUAGUCC